CCCCUAGAUGUUCUGGGCCGCACGCGCGCUACACUGAACAGUUCAACAAGUCUUAACCUUGGCCGAUAGGUCUGGGUAAUCUUUGAACGCUGUUCGUGAUUGGGAUAGACCUUUGCAAUUAUGGGUCUUCAACGAGGAAUUCCUAGUAAACGCAAGUCAUCAGCUUGCAUUGAUUACGUCCCUGCCCUUUGUACACACCGCCCGUCACACCUACCGAUUGAAUGGUCCGGUGAAAUCUCGGGACGGCGGCUUGGUCGCUUGCGUCCGACUGCUGAAACUUGAUUAAACCAUAUCAUUUAGAGGAAGGUGANGUCGUAACA
rnacentral:rRNA from 1 species